rnacentral:rRNA from 1 species
UACGUAGGUGGCAAGCGUUGUCCGGAAUUAUUGGGCGUAAAGCGCGCGCAGGCGGUCCUUUAAGUCUGAUGUGAAAGCCCACGGCUCAACCGUGGAGGGUCAUUGGAAACUGGGGGACUUGAGUGCAGGAGGAGAAGAGUGGAAUUCCACGUGUAGCGGUGAAAUGCGUAGAGAUGUGGAGGAACACCAGUGGCGAAGGCGGCAUCCUGGACCGAGAUUGACACUGAUGAGCGAAAGCUAGGGGAGCAAACGGGA